GUGAGGACUGGUGGAGCGCUAAGAAGUGAGAAUGCCGGUAUGAGUAACGAUUCGUGGUGAGAAUCCACGACGCCUAUUGGGGAAGGUUUCCUGGGCAAGGUUCGUCCACCCAGGGUUAGUCAGGACCUAAGGCGAGGCGGAUACGCGUAGUCGAUGGACAACAGGUUAAUAUUCCUGUACUUUCUAUAAUAGUGAUGGAGUGACGGAGAAGGAUAGGCUUACCUCUUACUGGAUUGAGGGGCAAGUAGCAACUGGAAAUUGUAGGCAAAUCCGCAAUUUGUAACCGGGAGCUGUGACGCAUAGGCGCAAGCUGAAUUAGUUGAUUUCAUACUUCCAAGAAAAGCUUCUAAACUUAAUAUUAUGGAAACCUGUACCGAGAACGGACACACGUCCCCAAGAUGAGUAUUCUAAGGCGAGCGAGAAAACUAGUGUUAAGGAACUCUGCAAAAUGACCCCGUAAGUUCGCAAGAAGGGGUGCUCACGCAAGUGAGCCACAGAAAAUUAUGAGGGGCAACUGUUUAUCAAAAACACAGCUCUCUGCUAAACCGCAAGGUGAUGUAUAGGGGGUGAAGCCUGCCCAGUGCCCGAAGGUUAAGUGGAUGCGUUAGCUUUAUGCGAAGCGUUGAAAUGAAGCCCGGGUGAACGGCGGCCGUAACUAUAACGGUCCUAAGGUAGCGAAAUUCCUUGUCGGCUAAAUACUGACCUGCACGAAAGGCGCAAUGAUCUCUCAACUGUCUCAACACUAGACUCGGUGAAAUUAUGGUCCCAGUGAAAACGCUGGGUACCCGCAUCAAGACGAAAAGACCCCAUGGAGCUUUACUACAACUUCGUAUUGAAAUUUGGUCUAACAUGUGUAGGAUAGGUGGGAGACUUUGAAGCUAAGACGCCAGUCUUAGUGGAGUCAACCUUGAAAUACCACCCUUGUUAUAUUGAGUUUCUAACCUGCCAUCAUCAUCGGGUGGGGGGACAGUGCGUGGUGGGUAGUUUGACUGGGGCGGUCGCCUCCUAAAGAGUAACGGAGGCGUUCAAAGGUACACUCAAUACGGUCAGAAACCGUAUGCAGAGCGCAAAGGUAGAAGUGUGCUUGACUGUGAGACUUACAAGUCGAGCAGGUGCGAAAGCAGGACUUAGUGAUCCGGCUGUACAUUGUGCAAUGGCAGUCGCUCAACGGAUAAAAGUUACCCUGGGGAUAACAGGCUUAUCUUGCCCAAGAGAUCACAUCGACGGCAAGGUUUGGCACCUCGAUGUCGGCUCAUCGCAUCCUGGAGCUGGAGUCGGUUCCAAGGGUUGGGCUGUUCGCCCAUUAAAGCGGUACGCGAGCUGGGUUCAGAACGUCGUGAGACAGUUCGGUCCCUAUCUGAUGUGGGCGUUGGAAUAUUGAUGAGAGCCGUUUUUAGUACGAGAGGACCGAAACGGACGUACCACUGGUGUUCCAGUUGUUCCGCCAGGAGCAUAGCUGGGUAGCUAAGUACGGAAAGGAUAACCGCUGAAAGCAUCUAAGUGGGAAGCCUCCUCAAAGAUUAGUAUUCCCUUGAGAUUCCUUAUAGACUAUGAGGUCGAUAGGCUGGAUGUGUAAGCAUGGCGACAUGUUGAGCUGACCAGUACUAAUAAAUCGAUAGGUUUAAAA
rnacentral:rRNA from 1 species